rnacentral:rRNA from 1 species
AGUGAACGCUGGCGGUAGGCCUAACACAUGCAAGUCGAACGGCAGCACAGUAAGAGCUUGCUCUUACGGGUGGCGAGUGGCGGACGGGUGAGGAAUACAUCGGAAUCUACUUUUUCGUGGGGGAUAAGGUAGGGAAACUUACGCUAAUACCGCAGACGACCUACGGGUGAAAGCAGGGGAUCUUCGGACCGGGCGCGAUUGAAUGAGCCGAUGUCGGAUUAGCUAGUUGGCGGGGUAAAGGCCCACUAAGGCGACGAUCCGUAGCUGGUCUGAGAGGAUGAUCGGCGACACUGGAACUGGGACAGCGUCCAGACUCCUACGGGAGGCAGCAGUGGGGAAUAUUGGACAAUGGGCGCAAGCCUGAUCCAGCCAUACCGAGUGGGUUAAGAAGGCCUUCGGGUUGUAAAGCCCUUUUGUUGGGAAAGAAAAGCAGCAGGUUAAUACCCCGCUGUUCUGACGGUACCCAAAGAAUAAGCACCGGCUAACUUCGUG